rnacentral:rRNA from 1 species
GACGAGGGGUCCUAGCGUUGUUCGGAAUCAUUGGGCGUAAAGCGUGUGUAGGCUGCCAUUCAAGUCAGUUGUGAAAUCCCCGGGCUCAACCCGGGAAGUGCUUCUGAUACUGUUGGCUUGAGUACUGGAGAGGAUAGUAGAAUUCCAGGUGUAGUGGUGAAAUACGUAGAUAUCUGGAGGAAUACCGGUGGCGAAGGCGGCUAUCGUGGCCAUGUACUGACGCUGAGACACGAAAGCGUGGGGAGCAAACAGG